CAUCAGGUAAUCCAUAUUGGAGAGAAACCUUAUGAAUAGAAUGAAUGUGACAAGGUCUCUGGUUAUCUCAUAUCUUUGAAAGGCAUCUGAGAAAUCACACUGGAGAGAAGGCUUACAGAUGUAGUAACUGUGGCAAAGCCUUUACUGAGUGUGCAAGCCAUACUAAACAUCAUGUAAUCCAUCUGGAGAGAAACCUUACAAAUGUAGUGACUGUGGGAAAUUUUGUCUACUGUAGUCAUACCUCCAUCCAUACUGGAGAGACACCUUACAAAUGUAAUAAGUGUGUCAGUGCCUUUAGUGAGCAUUCAAGCAUUACUAAAUAUCAGGUAAUCCAUAAGGGAGAGAAACCUUACAAAUAUAAUGAAAGUGAUAAGUCCUUGUCUUGGCAACCAGACUUCACCAGACAUCAGAUAAUCCAUACUGAAGAGAAACCUUACAACUGCAAUGAAUGUGGCAAGAUCUUCAGUCAAAAUUUACACCAUGCACAACAUCAGAGAACUUACACUUGAGAGAAAGCUUCUGAAUGCAAUGAGUUUGGUAAAUCCUUAAUCAUUUGUUUAAGCAUUAAUCUACCUCAGAGCGGCCAUACUAAAGAGAAACCCCAUAACUGUAAUAUAUGUGGCAGUGGCUUCUUCCAGGCCUCAAAACUCUAGGCACC
rnacentral:lncRNA from 1 species